rnacentral:sRNA from 1 species
UUAUCCAGAGAACAGGUACAGCAUGAACAGUCACACUGCAGAUUUCCCUAAAUUGCCUUUCCAAUGUUUCUCCAACCUGACUUGAACCCUUUGGGAUUCAAAGGUAA